rnacentral:lncRNA from 1 species
UGAAUCUUUGAAUAAUUUCAUUUUUUUCUUUCUUGAAUUUGAAGUAACAGAACAUUUUGGAAAAUUGGUGUGCUUGCCUUUGUCAGACAAGGAUACCUUCUGCUCAUGGAGAGGGUUCCAGGCAAGGUGGAGAGAAUAUCCUGGCUUAAGUUAUCCUUGAAAUUACCAUGCAGCAUCUUCAGUAGGAACACAGCUUGCCUGGACAUCUGGCAGCAGCUGUGGACAGAGAGCACAGCUCCUUGCUGGGAGCUGUUGGCUCUCCCCCUUCCAUCCCAGAGCCUGAGUCUGAAAAAACCACAGAGAAGACCUGCAAGAUUGGUGACUUCAUUGAAAACUCUCUCCAGGCAAUAUUUUCUCUCUCCAUGGUUCUCCACACCUCCGACUUUACCAUGA